rnacentral:lncRNA from 1 species
CUGGGACCCACAGGAAUUCCCUCCCUUCAGUCCCGGGGGGAGGCGGCCGCGAUCCUGGGGGAGGCGCAGCCUCACAACCCGGACUUUGCGGGCGGGCGGGCACUGGUGAGAAGAGGAAGUGGGAGAGGCCUGGGAAGGAAACUUGGAAACCGAAAACUCGGCGGCCGAGGCUCCGUGCCCCGCGCGCAGCGCUGCUCCUGCCCCGGCCAAGGACGCACGGGCCAGCCGGCGGAACCAGAGGUUUUCAGUGAUGUUGAGAGUCAACAGGAAAUUAAUCAGCAAGUAGAAAAUUGAAAGAAGAUCUGCAUCUUACUGCAGGAGUCAUUAAAAUAAAAGCAGAUUUGGCAAAAUGGCAAGUUGUCAUAGCCUUCUCCAGCAUGUGUUCCUUCUGUAUUUCAGACAUGGCAGAGGAGACACAGCAAUAACUAAGGGGCAACUAUUGCAUCCAGAAAAAAAAAAAAUGAAGAUAAUGACUUCUCUGCAACUAAGAUGAAGAUCCACUGAACUUUGGGGUUUGAAAUGCAACGUUAGAACUUCAGACUCCCGGCACCUAGGUCUCCAGCUGCUGGGUGGUGCCAGCAUCAGAGAUACACUCUGCAAAACAUAUACUGUCUUAGGAAAAAGUGACCCUGUUGUCCUUUCAGGCCCAUAUUCCACAAGAAGACAAAUGGAGAUGUAAAAGGAAAACUGCAGCUCCGACUGAAGAGAGAGCAAGUUGUCUGUUCUGAUACAGCCAGGAAAUAAGAUGUUCUGGUUAAUAUGUGCUAAAGAUGUGGUGCUGACUUUCCGACUCAGAAUAUGAUCACAUGUUUUUCUCAUUAAAACUAUAUUGAAUAUUAUUUGACCAUUGUUGAGUCAGUCAUCUUGAUAAAUAUUAUCUUCGUACAGUCCUGAGCAGAGAGUCAGUGACUAGAAUGCCACUGAAACCAGCUUUUUAUAGGACACGGUUUUCAUGGUUUUAGGGCAUGGAGAAACUU